rnacentral:rRNA from 1 species
AUGUCCUUUGCGGCGGUUCUCGCCCAGGUGAGCGUCCACUCCUCCCGGUGUUCGUCAUGUGUUCUCCCUCUCCCUCUGCGUCCCCUGUCGCUAUUCUCACGUUGCUUUUGUCGCAACCAGAGGCUCAACAUCAGGGGCCGAGUCUACCCGGCGAUCCUCCCUGUAGACGGCAACAAAGUCCCUGGAAAGGUUUGGAAGGGGAUCACUGAUGGGGAGCUUGAUGUGCUGGACACAUUUGAAGAUGAAGAGUAUGUGAGGGAAGCUGUUGGCAUCUCACUGACCGAUUCGUCGGAUACAAUGAUCGCCUAUGCAUACAUAUGGGGGAAUGUAGAUGAUCCUGACCUCUAUAGUGAAUGGGAUUUUGACGUGAGUAUUUCCCUUCAUGCUAAUCGUAAGCAUUUUUCGUAUAUUGAUUGA